rnacentral:rRNA from 1 species
UACAGAUGGUGCGAGCGUUAAUCGGAAUUACUGGGCGUAAAGCGCGCGUAGGCGGUAAUUUAAGUCAGUUGUGAAAGCCCAGGGCUCAACCUUGGAACUGCAAUUGAUACUGGGUUACUAGAGUACAGUAGAGGGGGGUGGAAUUUCCGGUGUAGCGGUGAAAUGCGUAGAUAUCGGAAGGAACAUCAGUGGCGAAGGCGGCCCCCUGGACUGAUACUGACGCUGAGGUGCGAAAGCGUGGGGAGCAAACAGG